CUGGGGGGCAUGGACAGGCACACACGGCUCUGGAGGUACCUGGUGGGCAGCCUGGCCUCCGGCGGCCGGUGCCACCUUCCUUUGCUUCCUGUACCCCCUGGAUUUCGCCAGACCUGCCUGGCAGCCGAUGUCGGGAAGUUGGGCACAGAGCUGAGUUCUGAGGCCUGGGACACUGCCUGGUGAAGGUCACCAAGUCCGACGGGCUCCAGGGCCUCCAGGGCUUCAGCAUCUCCAUGCAGGACACCAUCACCUACCGGCCGCCGACCCCAGCAUGAAGAAUUCAGCCAAGGGCGAGCUCCCGGAUGCCAAGAGCCCGUGGUGGGAGAUGGACGACCACCGUGGCUGCAGCUCCCACCCCUUCCACGCGGUGUGGCAGACGAUGGUGCAGCCUGGGCUCAGAGCAGCUCACAUCACGUACACGGCACCCUCGGCUGUUGGGGAAAGACCGUUAAAGAUGAGGAGACAAGGCCUUCUUCCAGGGCGCUGGGCCGGCGUCCUCAGGCCUGGGGGCCCCUCUCGCUGGUCCUGUGUGAGGAGCUGAAAGGUCAUCUAA
rnacentral:lncRNA from 1 species